rnacentral:rRNA from 1 species
GUGGGGAAUAUUGGUCAAUGGGCGUAAGCCUGAACCAGCCAAGUCGCGUGAGGGAUGAAGGUUCUAUGGAUCGUAAACCUCUUUUAUAAGGGAAUAAAGGGUGGGACGUGUCCUAUUUUGUAUGUACCUUAUGAAUAAGGAUCGGCUAACUCCGUGCCAGCAGCCGCGGUAAUACGGAGGAUCCGGGCGUUAUCCGGAUUUAUUGGGUUUAAAGGGUGCGUAGGCGGCCUUUUAAGUCAGCGGUGAAAGCCCGUGGCUCAACCAUGGAAUUGCCGUUAAAACUGGGAGGCUUGAGUAUGUUUGAGGCAGGCGGAAUGCGUGGUGUAGCGGUGAAAUGCUUAGAUAUCACGAAGAACCCCGAUUGCGAAGGCAGCCUGCCAAGCCAUGACUGACGCUGAUGCACGAAAGCGUGGGGAUCAAACAGG